UACAGAGGUGGCAAGCGUUGUUCGGAAUUACUGGGCGUAAAGGGCGCGUAGGCGGCCUUCUAAGUCAGACGUGAAAUCCCCAGGCUUAACUUGGGAACUGCGUCUGAUACUGGAGGGCUCGAGUGCGGGAGAGGGAUGUGGAAUUCCAGGUGUAGCGGUGAAAUGCGUAGAUAUCUGGAGGAACACCGGUGGCGAAGGCGGCAUCCUGGACCGACACUGACGCUGAGGCGCGAAAGCUAGGGGAGCAAACGGG
rnacentral:rRNA from 3 species